ACGAACGCUGGCGGCAUGCCUAACACAUGCAAGUCGAACGAGACCUUCGGGUCUAGUGGCGCACGGGUGCGUAACGCGUGGGAACCUGCCCUUAGGUUCGGAAUAACUCCCCGAAAGGGGUGCUAAUACCGGAUAAUGUCUUCGGACCAAAGAUUUAUCGCCUUUGGAUGGGCCCGCGUUGGAUAGCUAGUUGGUAGGGUAAAAGCCUACCAAGGCGACGAUCCAUAGCUGGUCUGAGAGGAUGAUCAGCCACACUGGGACUGAGACACGGCCCAGACUCCUACGGGAAGCAGCAGUGGGGAAUAUUGGACAAUGGGCGAAAGCCUGAUCCAGCAAUGCCGCGUGAGUGAUGAAGGCCUUAGGGUUGUAAAGCUCUUUUACCCGGGAUGAUAAUGACAGUACCGGGAGAAUAAGCUCCGGCUAACUCCGUG
rnacentral:rRNA from 1 species